GACGACCGCUGGCGGCGUGCUUAACACAUGCACGUCGAACAGUGGCGAACGGGUGAGUAACACGUGCGUAACCUGCCCUCCACUUUGGGAUAACUCCGAGAAUUCGGGGCUCAUACUGGCUAGUGGGGGAUGGGCUCGCGGACUAUCAGGUUGUUGUUGCGGUAGUGUUCACCAAGGCGUGACGGGUCGCCGGACUGAGAGGGAGACCGGCCACACAGGGACUGAGACACGGCCCAGACUCAUACGGGAGGCAGCAGUGGGGAAUAGUGCACAAUGGGCGAAAGCCUGAAGCAGCGACGCCGCGUGGGGGAUGACGGCCUUCGGGUUGUAAACCUCUUUGAGCAAGGAAGCGGUACUUGCAGAAGAAGCGCCGGCUAACUACGUGCCAGCAGCCGCGGUAAUUC
rnacentral:rRNA from 1 species